rnacentral:lncRNA from 1 species
UCCGGUCGGGGUCUCGGGUCUCCCCGGAGCGGCGGCGCCUCCUCCGCCUCCCUAGGCCUCCUCCCGGCGGAGACCCCGGCGCCGCUGAGGCGGCGGAGAUAACACCACCCUGUGCGGGUUCUGCGCGAGGCUAGUGAACUUCAGAGGGGCAGCCUGUGUGAGAGCUACCUUAUCCAUGCAGAGAGCUGGGGGAACAAAUUGGGACAGCAAGUGCCAAGGCCCGGAGGUGGCGGGGACGAUGAUGAGUGGAGGGGCAGAUUGAAGGGGACCCCGAGCCGCGGGAAGGCGUCGUCUCCAAGGCCUGCGGCAGAGUUUCUGGGCACUGUCAGUUCUGCCAAGCCCAGGGCUUCUUCACCUUCACUCACACUUCUCUGUAUCGCUCCACUCUCAGUACUUGUGCUGCCCAAGCGAGCACCUUUGCCUUCAUUCAUAAAUGGGUGUUCAACAGCUGCAAGCGCCCGGGGACGCUACAGACAACAGUAGGCAGAGCCCUGUGUCUACGCAGAGUGGAUGUGCUGGGAGAGAGGCGAAGAAAGGUCAGAGUACUUCAGCGAGUGUGAAGCCAACUACAGUGGGGUGAGGGAUCGGGCCGGGGCUGGGCUGCCAGGAAGGCCUCACCCGACACACUCGUCUUCUUGCCCCUCCAAUAAACCACAGAAGCAGCAGUUAGCUCUAAGUGUCAAUUUCCCGUCUUCUGAACAGUUGUGCCCUCCAGGGGUACUGUGAUGGAGCCCCGGAUUCUACUGGGGCUCAUCUUCCAGCAAACCAGUCCUUCCAUGCUCAGCCUCAUCCCACAAACACGUAUCAAGCCAGGCACCAUCACAGGUCAUAGGGACCAAGCAGUGACCCAGACAUAAAAAUCUCACCCUGGAGAGGGAGAGCAGCAGACUGGACAGGAACCAGAAUCCAUGGCCCUUAGAUUAUGCCGGUGGUAAUGAGAGGAAUGAAGACAGGGGAGGUUCGUGGGCCUGGGGGACAGGUGGGGGUUACUGAGGGCCCCUUGAGAGGACAGGUGAGCAAAGACAGGAAGAAGGGAGAGCAGGGGUGGCACAGGGCAUGGAGCAUUCCAGGGCAGGAGCAAGGGCCCCGGACAAAGGCAGGAGCGAUGCGAGCCAGCACACUGGAGGACGGGUUUGACUCAGUGGGACGGGGGACACUGCAGGGCUGUGCGCAGAGGGGCCGUGGCUUGGUCUUGGUCCUGUGUCUAUAAGGGAGCAGUCACACCUGAGUCUGUUAGCAGUCUGAAUGUGACGAGCCACCUCAGCACCCACACAGCCUUUCAUACUGGCCCUGGGUCUCACCCACAGACUCGGGAUUUGGAGGUCAUAGCUCCAUGUGUGUUGGAAGACGGAGGCAUUUGGUAUUUUGUACAGCAUGUUUUAGGGACAGGAGCACAGACUCGAACUCGCUGCCUGCUGUGUGGCUUUGGAGACUGAGUCACCCCUCCCACCCUAGGGCCCGUCCUUCCUCGGGGUUUCAGACAGUAAUGGUGAGCAUUCCCCGGGUUGUGGGGAGGAUUAGGUAUGGGCAUUUAGUGCUACAGGUUACCCUCCAGGACUGUAACUGUCACCACCACCGAUAGGCUGCAGUUGCUGCACCAGGAAGCUCUGUGGCCCCGAAGAGCUCACAGACCCCUGGCAUCAGACACCUGCUUCUCCUUCGUGGCACAAGGGAGGGGCACACAUCAGAUGCCUGACAACAGAUGGGAGUGGUGGAAGCUUUCGCUGUGCUGUUUUCCGGGAACUACUCCCGCCCCAGGAGCACCUCUCUCCUGGUUGUGCCACUCUGUGUAAAACCCUGUUAGGCGUCUUCCCUUAGAAAGACAGCAACUCAAGGGUCGAAUCCCCUAAGAGGACCUGUCCUGGUUCUCUGGAAAUUUGCCCAAACACCCCGUCCUGCCUCUGGCCCUUGUCUCAGUACCCUUCUCAUGCCUCCACUGUCCCCAGAGUUCCUCGUCCUGGCAGGCACCUCACAUCAGCUGCAUCCCUACUAAAUGUCCCCACUGGGGUCCUUCCCUAGAGUCUCAUCCAGUCACAAGCUGCACAACACCCAUGAGUGCAGGCACUGGCGACUGUGAAUCCCACCCAGGCACUGCCCUAGCUGCCGCCUUAGCUUCCUAGGGCGAGGCUCUGUUCUCAUCCAUCACGGAGGCGUUUCCUCACUUCCCUGUGGCUACUCCAUGGUCCCUUCCAAGGUUUAGGAAGGUGGUGUUUAGUUUCUGCACAUCAGCAAACAUCUGUGAGCAGGCACUGGACAAGGCAGGCCAGAGCCUUGCUCUUAGUGACAGCCAGGAGACACAUGGUGAAGAAAUGAGUGAGUCAGUGGUGCACACCUGUCAUCGUACACUUUGAGAGGCCGGAAGUUCAAGCCUAGGCUGGAAAACUUAGUGAGACUGUCUCAAAAAACUAAAAUCGGGCUGGUGAUAAAGCUCAGGGCAAAGGCUAGGGUUCAGUCUCCAGUACUGCAGAGCAGAAAAGGUGGUGGUGGUUAACUGCCAUGAGAGUUCAGCGGAUGCUGGGCUGGAAAGUGCUGGGGUCCCAAGUGGGGACCGGAAGUGCACUCAGGAAGGGGCUCGAGUCUGGGGAUGAACAUUCCCAGCAGAGGGAAGAAUCCAUUGUGUGUUUACGGCCAUAUCCACCACCCCCUUCCACCAGGUCCCUAGUAUGAGCCCCUCAUACUCGGGGAGCACCCCUAGAUGAGUCACCUGCCUCCUGGCUCCAUCUCCUCCUUCCUCUAUGAGGGGAAACACCCGAGGGCGUUGGGAGAGGCGAGUGGUCUCCUGGCUGGAGGUGCCAGUUGCUCCAUUACAGCCUGCUGUUCUGAGCCAGGUGUGGUGGUGCACACCUGUAAUCCCAGCUGCGCCAGAGGCUGAGGCAGGAAGAUUUCAAGUUUCAGGCCAGCCUUGGCAACUCAGUGAGAGCCUGUUUCAAAAUAAAAGUGGAGAGGCUGGGGAUGGAGCUCAGUGGUAGAGCAGUUGCCUGGCACAUGCAAACCCUGUGUUGAACCCUCAGACCUCCAAAAUAGAAAAGACUGCUGCUCUGUGAUCCUGAGGGAGGCCUUUGGCCUCCCUGUGUCUCCAAAGAGUAGAAGAAGCUUUCGGGUCUGCAGCGUUGACGGUGUGACGCGCCUAGGCUGGCAACCUCGGGAAGCUGGAGCGGAAGGGGAGGGCACCCCGCCCGUCCUCAGCCCGCCUCUCUUCACAGGGUCUCCCAGCUCCGCUGAGAUGGAGUCGAACCCAGCGGGGGCAGCGGGAACGGCGGCCUGGGGGGCGAGGAUGGCGUGCAUUUCCAGAGCUACCCCUUCGACUUCCUGGAGUUCCUCAACCACCAGCGCUGCGAGCCCAUGGAGCUAUACGGGGGAGCACGCCAAGGCCGUGGCUGCGCUGCCCCUGCGCCCAGGCCCCCGCCGCCGCCGCCGCCGCAGCCCCCGCCGCCGCAGUUCGACUACCCGCCACCGGCCAGCUUCAAGCCCAAGGCCGAGGCGCCAUCCUCAGCUUCCUCCUCCUCCUCCUCCUCCUCCUCCUCCUCCUCCUCCUCCUCCUCCUCUUCCUCGUCCUCCACCUCCUCCGCCCCAGCCAAGAAGCCCGACCCGCCGCUGCCGCCCGCCUUUGGGGCACCCCCACCCCCGCUCUUCGACGCCGCCUUCCCUGCCCCGCAGUGGGGCAUCGUGGACCUCUCCGGCCACCAGCACCUGUUCGGGAACCUGAAGCGCGGCGGGCCGGCGGCAGGGCCGGGCGUGGCGCCCGGUCUUGGUGCACCCGC